CAAAAAUGGGUAGCUAAAAUGGUGUGUUUGAAGGCUGGGGUCGAUAUUUGAGUUCGAUGCUGGUCGGAAUUGUUUGGGCAGCUAAAUGGGCUAGUGAAAAAUGAAUAGCUAAUGUGCCUAAUUUGUUUUUAUUGCUAGGGGUGGGUAAAAGAAUAGGCUGGGUUUUUUGGUAUUGAAGAGGAGUUGAAUGGUAGACCCGCAAAGGCUAUUGAAAAAAUGAAAACAAAAUGAAGAAAAACUAUUGAUCGAGUUUGAUUUACAAAGGCUAUAGUUGAGUCUGAUGGUUCAAGUGCUAGUUAUUGAGUUAGUGAGUUGCAGGCGAUAAAUGUGUGAUAGGGAUAACCCCUAGUUUUAAGUGGAGGAUGCCUAAAAAUUGUAUUUAUUUUGUUCUUUUUUCAUUGAGGUGUGUAGAAGAUAGUUUGCUUUAGUGUUUUGAGCCUUGGUUGAAAAGGCGACUUGUGGUAAGAAAAAGAUUGCAUGAGGUAAGAUGGCAAGUUGGAGCAACAAGGUAGACGAUCCAUACAUCGACAAAUAUUUGAGGAGGAACUAUUUGAGUGAAGUAGAGGCUCACAUUUAGGAUGAACAGGUAAGCCUGAAUUUUGGACUCAUGGUUAUGGGACGAUGCUGGGUUAGUCUGGGGUUAGGAUUUAUUGUAAUAGGGCUUUUUGUGUUAAAUUGUUUAUAUACAGAUUUAAGGUGGUAGUGGCGUGGGUUUUCUUUGGCAUAAUUGGUGGGUAGUGGUGAUUAAAGUUAAUUUAAUGUGUGUAGUUUCUAUUUGGCUAGUAAUAUUAGGGUCGUGUUAGAAAGAAAAUGUUAAUUGUUGUUGGAGACUAUAAAUCAUGCUGACAAUAAAGGUGUAUGGGAAAAGUUUGAUUCAUAAUCGAUUGGUAGUAUAGGAGUUGUGUUUGAAGGUCAAUUAUUCUAAAGUUAACUGCAUAGUUGUGUGUUGCCGUAAGAAAAUGAGUUGGAUUUGGAAUUGAAGUGGAGGACUUAGUUGGUGGCAAUGUGGACAGCGUUGGUCCAUACGAGGAGUGGUGGAGUAAUUAUGAAGCGAUUAAAGCAGAGGAAAUGCUUAAGAUGGAGUCUAGUAGUCCGAAGGAGGCAUGAUGGUUCUAUAAUGACUAUAGUUGAGUAAAGGAUUUUGCAACAAGGUAGAGGAAGAAGAUUAAAAAUAUUUUCUAGAGGAAUUGUUCGGUACCUAAUUGAUUGCAAUAGAGAAGGAUUUAGAGACAAGAAGUGGUUGGAGAAGAGCGAUUGCAAGCGAAAACACAAGGUUGUAACAACGUGCGAGUGUCUUGUUGAGACGAGGAUAAAAAGAAAAAACGGAAAUGAUACAUGGUAUGUGUCUUGGUUUGUAGAGAAACACAAACAUGAGUUGUUAUUGUCAAAUUUUAUUGAGUAACUGAGGUCCCACCAGAAGAUUUUUUAUUUCAAGAAAGCACAGUUAAAUAGCAUAAAAAAAUCGGUAUAAGUAUCCCAAAAAUGUGUGAGUCUUUUCCUGCAUAGGCUGGUGGCUUUAACAUAGUUUUAUUCGUGAAACAAGACAUGUAUAAUGAGUUGAAGAGGCAAUGAGCCAUGGAAAAUGGAGAUGUGAAUGUUACAUUUUGUUGUUUGGAGGGUAUGGCCCAGUAGAUGAAAAAUUGUUUUAGUAGUACAAAUUUGGGUAGGUAAGCAACUUUGCAAUUUAUUUUAGAGUGACGGACUUAGACAAGAAUAUUAUUAGAUCUUUGGUGAUGUACCUAAAUUCAAUGCAACCUAUGGAAACAAGUAUAACCUUCCGAUUGUUUUAUUUUCCUGGGUUAACUACCAUAAUCAGACAUAUGUUUUCAGUGCCAUAAUGGUUUCACAUGAAUCACAGGAGUCACACAAACAGGUAUUGGAGAAGUUUUUGGAAUACAUGAAAGAAAAAAUACCUAAGAAAGCUUUGGUAAUCUGGGAUACCGGGGGACCUGUUGCACAAGCAAACCAAAGAAAGCUUCAUUGGAUUUUCAAAAUGAUAGGGUAAUUGGUGGCUAAAAUGCACAGGUGAGUCCAAUGCAUUUAUAUUUAUUCUUGUUCUGGGAGAGACACUAUUUCUAUUUGUACCCAUCUUGGUUAAUUUUUUAUUUGGAGUAGUUUAUUAUCGUUAUUGCUUUAAAGAAUGUAAGACGGUACAAUGAGUCUUGGGAUUGGUGAUUACAUGUUCUCUCCAUGGUCUUUUUCAAGAUCGGGCUUAUGCCAGCGGCAAGGUGAAGCAGGUAAGAACAAAGGAUGUGCAUGCCUCUUUUUCGAGACGUGAUGAUGCUGUAUAGGAAUAAAUAUGUAGUUGUAUGUGUAGGUAGUGGCUUCGUCAGAGUGUCACUGAUGAAAUUCAUUCAACUAUGGAUGUCCACGGUUUUAGUGAGUGUCCAUUUAUCCUAGUAAGGGUUGAUGUAAGUAGCAUUUAGUAUGUGAUCAUGGAGGUUUGUAAGGACACAGUUAAAUUGUGGUUUAUGUUAGUACGAGUCUCGUUAUUAAUCUUUAUCCAGGGAAUGCGACAGUUACUAAGGCUUUGAACACGUCAUUAAUUGUGUUUGCGGAUUGGCGUAUAAUUUCAUGGUGGAUGUCUAAGUUAAAGAGUGGUGGUUGUGUUUUUACAACUGUAUCAAUUUCAUUUAGUCUUGUGAAAUUUGCAUUGUUGUUUAGGUUACUUGCUAUUGAACUCGGUGGAGUUAAACUCUUAAACAUGUUUCUAAUGCU